CUGCAUUUCUGAGAACCCUUACGUUGGAUUAAGUUGAGCAAGUUGUUUUGUUUCUAUGAAUGAUCAAAUUUUUAAGCUAUUGUUCAAUUUUCAGUACCCAGAAAUUACAACCAUAUAAAAACGUUGAAAAUUAUUAUCGAAAAUUUAUUAACAUUUUAUUUGACAUCAGAAUGUCAAAUUGCCAUUGACACUCUAAAAAUUUCUUAAAUAAAAAAUCGGCAAGUUAGUAAUUCGAAAAUUCAAACAGCGACAUAAUCACUUCGCACUAGUAGAAAUAAUUAAACUUCGGAAAAUAUUUCGCGAAUUCCGACCAAUUUCCGAAUCUAAUUCUAAAACGUUAAGCUGAUACUUUUUUAUCUUGAUCUGUCUUAAGAUUAUUAUCAAAUUGAAUUGGAAAUCUAGACGAUCCACUACUUUUACAACUGAACAAGUUCAAUUUCAAUUGACAAUACUUACCAAUAAGAUUAAAAAUUAGUUCAUGUGCACUGAUAAUGCACAAUAUUAUUAGUUUUUUGUCAAGGUAAUGAGAUGUUAAGAGCUGUGGCGAUGCUUGAGGCUGUUGCCUCUGGAGGUCUGGAGCCGUUAUUGAGAAACUGGAACCACACGCGGAAUGCAUUUGGGUCGACCAAGGAUGACUACACCUCAUAUGGAUCGAUGUGUUAAGUUAGAAGCUUAAAGAAAUGACAUAGUAAUAGCAACACAAUUAAUAAGUCAUCUGCGCGAAGCUCAUAAUGUGCCUGUUUUAAGACAUACCAACUGCAGAAGAUUAAGAGAAGGUAAUCUAGUAAGCCGAAGAGCUGGGAGAUUUCAACCCUUAAAUCGAAGAAACCUCGCUUUGGCCUGUAUCCAAAUUCUCGAAGAGUACGUUUCUGGACGGCACCUAGCAAAAGAAAUCGUCCAUCAUACACGGGAGGUUUACAGUUGAACAAGAUUUCUCUUGAAAGUAGAACUAUGCUCGUUCUUCUGGAUCGUUUCUUAUUAGCAGACCCUUCCAAUAGAAAUUUUUUUAAACCUAUUAUUUCGUACGUCUGAAAUAUUGAUACAAAUUUUAUUGUAUUGCAUGAUAAUGCCACCCAACAUUCAGCUAGGUUUCCCAGGUGGUUUGACCCGAAGUUCUAGAAAGGAAUCUAAUGAUCCGUCUACUAUUUAAAAUUAUUUGGAGUUUUAUAAUUUAGGAACUGAGUUUAAGAGGCUUGCCAAGUUGGCUUCAGAGAAGAUAUUAAUUUCACCAAAUGCAUUAAAAAUGAACAUAGGCAAUAAUUAACAAUAACAAUUUCGUUUACAGUUUUGCCAACUCUAAACAAGUCCGACAUUCAGGCAUUGAAAUUGCAAAUCUGCUUGUAGACUAUUUUUCUAGUCUCUCUUGCACAAGGUCAUGUGAUUUGUCCAAAAUGAUAUAUGCUCCAUUAAUAUUCGCAAGACUUUAAGAAACGGUAUAAAUGCUUUUCAUAAUCAUAAAGGGCCCGACCGUGAUAUAAAAAACCAGUUUUAUAUUAGCCAGACCCUUUUAUAUUAUCUUGAAAUGUUCAAUUAUUGAAGGAAAUUUUUCCUAUCGUUAAAAAUCGUGUUUGACGCCUCCAAUUUUUAAAUCUAGAGAAUAAGACAAUCUCAGGUUUUUAAAACUUUAUAUGUAUCUGUUGGAGUACUUGGAUCGCUUAUUGGAGUUUUGCUUACAAUAACGCAGUUCAUACUCUAAGUACACUUCUCGUGACUGUUUUAAAUUGGUUGUGGAAAAGACUUGUAAUUAGCCAUAAGUAAUACAUUAAUUUCUUGUGAUCCUAUAUAUGGUUUCGAUAGCUACCCUAAGGAUCAAAAUAUAUAGGUUGCAUUAAGUUUGGAAUGAUGCAACAAAUUAUUUAUUGGUAACAAAAAAUGUUUAAAAAAAUAAAUAAAAAAAAGUAAUCAUAUUAUAUAUAAGAACUAUAAUUAUAUUACCAUAUAGUGCGAGAAAAAAAGGAUGUUGUGUAUAAUGAAUCAUAUGAAAUGAUAAAAGAUAAGUUUCCAAAUAAAAGUAAAUCACACAUU